rnacentral:rRNA from 1 species
GUGCCAGCAGCCGCGGUAAUACGUAGGGUGCGAGCGUUAAUCGGAAUUACUGGGCGUAAAGCGUGCGCAGGCGGUCUUGCAAGACAGGUGUGAAAUCCCCGGGCUCAACCUGGGAACUGCCUUUGUGACUGCAAGGCUGGAGUGCGGCAGAGGGGGAUGGAAUUCCGCGUGUAGCAGUGAAAUGCGUAGAUAUGCGGAGGAACACCGAUGGCGAAGGCAAUCCCCUGGGCCUGCACUGACGCUCAUGCACGAAAGCGUGGGGAGCAAACAGGAUUAGAUACCCUGGUAGUCCACGCCCUAAACGAUGUCAACUGGUUGUUGGGUAUUAGUUUACUCAGUAACGAAGCUAACGCGUGAAGUUGACCGCCUGGGGAGUACGGCCGCAAGGUUGAAACUCAAAGAAAUUGACGG